UAAGUCUCGGCUAACUACGUGCCAGCAGCCGCGGUAAAACGUAGGAGGCAAGCGUUAUCCGGAGUUACUGGGCGUAAAGGGUGCGUAGGCGGCUCAUCAAGUGGGACGUGAAAGCUCACGGCUAAACUGUGAGAGGACGACUCAGACUGAAGGGCUAGAGGGUGUCAGAGGCGUGCGGAAUUCGGGGUGUAGCGGUGAAAUGUGUAGAGAUCCCGAGGAACACCAGUGGUGCAAACGGCGCGCUGGGACACAACUGACGCUGAAGCACGAAAGCGUGGGGAGCGAACGGGAUUAGAGACCCCGGUAGUCCACGCCGUAAACGAUGUCAACUAGGUGUCUGCAAGGGGAAACCUGAGUGGGUGUCAAAGCUAACGCGAUAAGUUGACCGCCUGGGGAGUACGGUCGCAAGGCUAAAACUCAAAGGAAUUGACGGGGGCCCGCACAAGCAGCGGAGCGUGUGGUUUAAUUCGAGGCUACGCGAAGA
rnacentral:rRNA from 1 species